GACGAACGCUGGCGGCGUGCUUAACACAUGCAAGUCGAACGGAAAGGCCCUGCUUUUGUGGGGUGCUCGAGUGGCGAACGGGUGAGUAACACGUGAGUAACCUGCCCUUGACUUUGGGAUAACUUCAGGAAACUGGGGCUACUACCGGAUAGGAGCUCCUGCUGCAUGGUGGGGGUUGGAACGUUUCGGCGGUUGGGGAUGGACUCGCGGCUUAUCAGCUUGUUGGUGGGGUAGUGGCUUACCAAGGCUUUGACGGGUAGCCGGCCUGAGAGGGUGACCGGCGACAUGGGGACUGAGAGACGGACCAGACUCGUACAGGAGGCAGCAGGGGGGAAUAUGGCACAAUGGGAGGAAGCCUGAGGAAGAAACGCCGCGUGCGGGAUGACGGCCUUCGGGUUGUAAACCGCUUUCGCCUGUGACGAAGUGUGAGUGACGGUAAUGGGUAAAGAAGCACCGGCUAACUACGUG
rnacentral:rRNA from 1 species